GGGAUUGUAGCUCAGUGGUAGAGCACUUGCCUCAAAAGCCUGAGGCACUGGGUUCCAUCCUCAGCACCA
rfam:Ictidomys tridecemlineatus contig015472, whole genome shotgun sequence.